GACGACCGCUGGCGGCAGGCCUAACACAUGCAAGUCGAGCGAGCGGCGGACGGGUGAGUAAUGUAUAGGCAUCUGCCCGCAAGAGGGGGUUAACUACUGGCAACGGUGGCUAAUACCGCAUACUAUCGGAUGCACCCAUUGGGGAUUAGCUAGUAGGUGGGGUAAAGGCUCCACUAGGCGACGAUCCCUAGCUGGUCUGAGAGGAGGAUCCGCCAAAGUGGGACUGAGACACGGACCAGAGUCCGACGGGAGGAAGCACUGGGGAAUAUUGCAAAAAUGGGGCAAGCCGGAUGCAGCCAGGCCGCGGGUAUGAAGAAGGCCUUAGGGUUGUAGAGUACUUUCGGCGGGGAGGCGUUACCCGCGGAAGAAGCACCGGCUAACUCCGUGCCAGCAGCCGCGGUAAUAC
rnacentral:rRNA from 1 species